GGGGCUGAUUCUGGAUUCGACGGGAUUUGCGAAACCCAAGGUGCAUGCCGAGGGGCGGUUGGCCUCGUAAAAAGCCGCAAAAAAAUAGUCGCAAACGACGAAAACUACGCUUUAGCAGCUUAAUAACCUGCUUAGAGCCCUCUCUCCCUAGCCUCCGCUCUUAGGACGGGGAUCAAGAGAGGUCAAACCCAAAAGAGAUCGCGUGGAUGCCCUGCCUGGGGUUGAAGCGUUAAAACGAAUCAGGCUAGUCUGGUAGUGGCGUGUCCGUCCGCAGGUGCCAGGCGAAUGUAAAGACUGACUAAGCAUGUAGUACCGAGGAUAUAGGAAUUUCGGACGCGGGUUCAACUCCCGCCAGCUCCACCA
rnacentral:tmRNA from 1 species